GCUUAAUUAAUUGUUAAAAGCUAGCCCCAAUCUGAAACCCUAAAAUCAUCAACCAUAUUAUUUAUCUGUAACCAUCAAACCCCAAACUAUAAACCACUAUACUGUAAGCCUUAAUUAAUUGUAAAUCCUAAACCCCAAACUAUAAACCAUUAACCCUAAACCUCAAACCCAAACCGUAAAACUUAAACCCUAAACCCGUCAAUUAACCAUUAAACAUCAAACCAC
rnacentral:lncRNA from 1 species